AGACAGACUAUGAAGAGAUACAUAGGGUGAGAAACGGAGGCCUUCAGCCAACAGCUGGGAGAAGCUGAGUCCCAUCAGCCAUUCAAAAGACUGCAGCCCCAGCCAAGAGUUUGAUGUAACCUCAGGAGAGACCCUGAGCCAGAACCACCUAGGAGAUGAUGAGCUCCUGGGCAAGACUGAGGUUUGUGUCAUUUUGCAUCCCCAGCACCGAGAAGAGUACCUGGCACUUAUUGGUGCGCAGACAAUGUUUACUGCAUGAUUAGAAGGUUUAACUGGAAAAACCUACUAACCUCUGAAAAGCUGGGAUACAUGAAGACUGCCAUCCCUUGAGUCACUUGCCCUGUAGCUGCCACUGUUGGAAAAGGGCUUGCUUCUGUGUCCUUGUGCCCACUUUGAAAAUCCCUGGGAAGUCCUUGGAGUCAGAUGAGCAGGCCUCCGCCACUCUGCCAAAAAGUCUGUUCAGAAGUUUCACAUCACUAGAGAAGAGAGAAGAAGGACAUUUGUACUGGGAGGAGUCGACCGGUCCCAGUAAGGAGAAAGUAGCUACAGCGUCAUGGGUGAGCUGGGUCCCCCAAAAAGGAACUUUAAGGGAAUGGACUGAAUCAAGUCUGAGAUGUCCCCAAAGCAAGACCAAAGAACUGAGGAAGAGAAGCAUUCAUCAGAAACCAAAAUUCAGCUACAAGUGAGCAUCCAGAUGGAGGUAUUAUGAAGAGGAACUGAGACUGAGGGCAAAAGGUGCCAGCCAGAAUCCUGGAUAGGAGAGCAAGAACCAGGACCUCAUUUAAGAGACAACCUGCUUAAGGCAGAGUAAGGUGAGAUUGGAUUCACGCAAAGACCUGGAAUUCAAGUAGGUUAAUGAACAGACAGUGUGUGCCUAUACCACGAAUUUACAAUAAUAAUAAGGGUGCUAAUAAUCACAUGGAAUUGUAGAGUAUAAUGAAAAUAUACACACUGGAGAGAAA
ensembl:lncRNA novel transcript